GUGUUUGAUAAGAAUGAAAAGGAGUUAGCCUCAAGAGGGCGUGAUUGUUCACUGAGUGUUGAGGAAAAACCGCACUCCCAAUAGACUCCUAUAGGGUCUAUAAACAAAGAAAAAAACAGUUAAAUCUCAAAGCACCUGAGAUGAGCAUGAUUCACUUUAGAAGAAGAACCUAAGCUUGAAGAUUAUAACAUUAAUGAUAACCUUACAAAGCUGUAUGUGUUAUGAGGAACAGUUUUUUUCAGCUUUGGGUGACCAAAGAGCCACUAAAAGUAGUUAUAUUGUUUCCCCAAACAUGUGCAUUUGCAGACAUGACCACAUCUGGUCUCCAUGCUGCAGCUGCGGGAAUACUGUAUUUCCUCCAUUAUCAGCUUGGUCGUAGUACGUAGGUGGUAGGUAGCGGUUAUGUCCAUCUUUUUUUUGGUGUGCCUUCUUUCAAUGUGCUUCUUCACAUUUCCAAUGUUCAUCGAAAGCUGGCAUAUUGGGCAUUGUUUUUUCAGCACUGGCCUCAUGCAGACCUUUUUCAACGCUCCACCUGGGGCAAGGGAGGCCGGCAGGGCUGGGGUGGAGGCCGACAGGGCUGCUGUGAAGACCGGUGAGGCUGGGGUGGAGGCCGACGGGGCUGCUGUGGAGGCCGACGGGGCCUAUUUGAUUAAUUGUUGGAUAAUGAAGUGGUAGUAGCAACUCGAUAACUACAUACUGUACACAUAUCCCAGGAUAAUGUUUGCCAACAUACCUUCAUGGCUGACAGCACGGUUAAAAUGAUGGUCCAGAUGAAUUUGAGUGUUCCUCAAACUGGUAGGCUUACACAACUCUGACGAGCAGAAUGGGCAGAGGUACUGCCUGCAACAUGUCUGGCAACAGACCAGUUCAGGCACCAUUCGCCCUUGUUGAAUUGUAAUAUGCAUCUUAAAAACAGAGAUCAUAAUUAGACAAAUCGUUUAGAUGAGAUUUUGUAUGCAUAGACAGAAACCUAAUUCAUAUAAAAGAGAAAUG